rnacentral:rRNA from 1 species
AGGAUGAACGCUAGCGGCAGGCUUAAUACAUGCAAGUCGAGGGGCAGCACAGGUAGCAAUACUGGGUGGCGACCGGCAAACGGGUGCGGAACACGUACGCAACCUUCCUUUAACUGGAGAAUAGCCCCCUCGAAAGAGGGAUUAAUACUCCGUAACAUGUUGAUAAGGCAUCUUAUUAAUAUUAUAGCCUUCGGGCGGUUAAAGAUGGGCGUGCGCCUGAUUAGAUAGUUGGCGGGGUAACGGCCCACCAAGUCUGCGAUCAGUAACUGGUGUGAGAGCACGACCAGUCACACGGGCACUGAGACACGGGCCCGACUCCUACGGGAGGCAGCAGUAAGGAAUAUUGGUCAAUGGACGAAAGUCUGAACCAGCCAUGCCGCGUGGAGGAUUAAGGCCCUCUGGGUUGUAAACUCCUUUUAUCUGGGAAGAAAUGCCAUUUUUCUAAAUGGUUUGACGGUACCAGAGGAAUAGCACCGGCUAACUCGUGCCAGCAGUCGCGGU